rnacentral:lncRNA from 1 species
UGGUUUUCCGUCACCCUGGUUCUGUAGUCUCGGUUCUCCGACUCCCUCUUUUUCUCGCUUGUGGACUCCGAUAUAUUGCCCUUCUUCCCUUAGAAGAACUGCUGAACCGACUCUGAGAAAUUUGAAAACAUCUGGAGAAAAUGACCCAUUGGUUUCAUAGGAACCCAUUAAAAGCCACAGCUCCUGUGUCUUUUAAUUACUAUGGUGUAGUCACUGGCCCUUCUGCUUCAAAAAUAUGCAAUGACUUGAGGUCAUCCAGGGCACGACUCCUUGAACUGUUCACUGAUUUGAGCUGUAAUCCAGAAAUGAUGAAGAAUGCAGCAGAUUCAUAUUUCUCACUUUUACAAGGUUUCAUAAAUUCUUUGGAUGAAUCUACCCAAGAAAGCAAGUUACGAUAUAUUCAAAAUUUCAAGUGGACUGAUACAUUGCAAGGACAGGUUCCAAGUGCCCAGCAGGAUGCUGUUUUUGAAUUAAUUUCCAUGGGAUUUAAUGUAGCUUUAUGGUAUACCAAAUAUGCUUCAAGACUGGCUGGAAAAGAAAAUAUAACAGAAGAUGAAGCAAAAGAAGUUCAUCGAAGCCUAAAGAUUGCAGCUGGGAUUUUUAAACAUUUAAAGGAAAGUCAUCUCCC